GAUGAACGCUGGCGGCGUGCCUAAUACAUGCAAGUCGAGCGAACAGACGAGGAGCUUGCUCCUCUGACGUUAGCGGCGGACGGGCGAGUAACACGUGGAUAACCUACCUAUAAGACUGGGAUAACUUCGGGAAACCGGAGCUAAUACCGGAUAAUAUAUUGAACCGCAUGGUUCAAUAGUGAAAGACGGUUUUGCUGUCACUUAUAGAUGGAUCCGCGCCGCAUUAGCUAGUUGGUAAGGUAACGGCUUACCAAGGCAACGAAGCGUAGCCGACCUGAGAGGGUGAUCGGCCACACUGGAACUGAGACACGGUCCAGACUCCUACGGGAGGCAGCAGUAGGGAAUCUUCCGCAAUGGGCGAAAGCCUGACGGAGCAACGCCGCGUGAGUGAUGAAGGUCUUCGGAUCGUAAAACUCUGUUAUUAGGGAAGAACAAAUGUGUAAGUAACUAUGCACGUCUUGACGGUACCUAAUCAGAAAGCCACGGCUAACUACGUG
rnacentral:rRNA from 1 species